rnacentral:lncRNA from 1 species
CUCGACUUUGAUCUUAUGUUUAAUACUACCAGCUGGUUAGGACUCUCAGCUUAAAAAUGUAAUUUUACUCGAAUCAUCAUUCAAUUCUCCACAAGACUGGCUGAUUUUCAUUACAUUAUUGGAUUGUUUCCAAAAUAAGGAUAUAACUAUAAAGGUCAACCAAAUGGAAUGGUGCUUUAUUUGACAAUUUGCUGCUGGCCAACCGAUAGUAUGGUAUAGUAUGGGCACUUGUGUAACCUAUUUUCUAUAAUAAAUAUUAAAAUUUAAUUUUACCAGCUGCUUUCAAACACUAACUAUGACUUUGUCUUAACAGCAACACAGAUUGAAUUGUUUUUGCAUUGAUUGGAACUAGAGGUGGACUAAGGACUAAGAUGUUCAAAACGCUGAAGAAGAUACAGAAAAUACGGAUCCAGACCAAAACAUAGAAAAUAAUUAAGCUUGAUAGCAGCGCCACCGAAGCUUACUUCGAUUCCUCCCUUUUCCCUGCAAUUUCUUCGUGCAGCACUGUCCCUACAACUUGGCCAGAAGAGUACGUGGAUUUUACUCAAUAGUUUUUAGCAACACCACCCAUCAAAGGACAACAUUAAUAGUCUCAGGAAGAAAAAAAAUGUCAAAAAUAAACUGCUCAUGACAUCACGCAACUCGAAAGGUUUAGCCAAAAACAUUUUAAGGUUCUUUCCAAUGGACUCCAUAAACUGGGCUAAGAAGUUGUACAACAAUUAUAGAAGAAGUGCAGCAUUUAAGAGAAAAAAGAAAAAUGGAGCAGCAUGGAUUUUCUGUAGCGUUAUACAUAGUCCAUGAUUCCAUGAGAGUCACGAUAACAAAUAUAUAAAUAAAAUAGGUGAAAAUACAAAAUAAGUUAAACUGUAAAUUCCAUUGCUGAGGGAAAAUUCUCUCCAUCCCUCCAAAGUUGCCAAAUGUUGGAUAAUGCUGCUCCCAUUACAAAUUC